rnacentral:rRNA from 1 species
AACGAACGCUGGCGGCAGGCCUAACACAUGCAAGUCGAACGCUCUUUUCGGAGAGAGUGGCGCACGGGUGAGUAACGCGUGGGAAUCUGCCCUUUGGUUCGGAAUAACCCUGGGAAACUAGGGCUAACACCGGAUAAGCCCCGAGAGGGGGAAAGUUUACGCCGAAGGAGGAGCCCGCGUCCGAUUAGCUAGUUGGUGAG